rnacentral:rRNA from 1 species
UACGGGGGGGGCCAGCGUUGUUCGGAAUUACUGGGCGUAAAGGGCUCGUAGGCGGCCAACUAAGUCAGACGUGAAAUCCCUCGGCUUAACCGGGGAACUGCAUCUGAUACUGGAUGGCUUGAGUUCGGGAGAGGGAUGCGGAAUUCCAGGUGUAGCGGUGAAAUGCGUAGAUAUCUGGAGGAACACCGGUGGCGAAGGCGGCAUCCUGGACCGACACUGACGCUGAGGAGCGAAAGCCAGGGGAGCAAACGGG